rnacentral:lncRNA from 1 species
CCAGACUUACGAGCAGUCAAAAGCCUGUGAUAUUGUUGCACGUUUUCCCGAGAAGAUCCCUGCAAGACCUAGAGCGUGUGCUUGGUGGCAUUGCCCUCUAAGUCCAUGCUUCAACAAGAAAGCGAGCUGUAGGAAAAACUGGAGAUAAUUGUCUUGUCUUUCGUCUUUUAACUUGCUUCUGACAAAGGUCAAAAGCUUAGGAGAAAGUAACUCCUAACAGAUGAUUGUAGAAGGGCACGUUUAAAGGCCUCUUGCUGAACUGUCGGUUGUGGCAAAUAACUCGGUCCUCUGCAAGAGAAGUGGAAUUCCCAGCUGUGAUGCUGGAACUGCAAUUCCUGGUAACAGUGUCUGCUUCUGAUUUGACUGCAGUUUUACUCCUGGAAAUU